rnacentral:rRNA from 1 species
CUACGGGUGGCAGCAGUGAGGAAUAUUGCACAAUGGGGGGAACCCUGAUGCAGCAACGCCGCGUGGAGGAUGACGCAUUUCGGUGUGUAAACUCCUUUUAUAUGUCAAGAAAAUGACGGUAGCAUAUGAAUAAGCACCGGCUAACUCCGUGCCAGCAGCCGCGGUAAUACGGAGGGUGCAAGCGUUACUCGGAAUCACUGGGCGUAAAGGACGCGUAGGCGGGCUUGUAAGUCAGGUGUGAAAUCCUACAGCUUAACUGUAGAACUGCACUUGAAACUACGAGCCUAGAGUAUGGGAGGGGCAGAUGGAAUUAGUGGUGUAGGGGUAAAAUCCGUAGAUAUCACUAGGAAUACCUAAAGCGAAGGCGAUCUGCUGGAACAUAACUGACGCUAAGGCGUGAAAGCGUGGGGAGCAAACAGGAUUAGAUACCCCCGUAGUC